AGUACGUUAGGUACGAAACCACAUGAGACCUGUGGUACGGUACGGUAUUGCACCAAUUUUCUAAUAAGCCGUGUUUGUUUGGCUGACGGACAACUGACCAGGGUCCAGAGACAACAGGACAACUCGACUACAGAGAGGCCUGUAAUACUUAGGUAUUCAUGAAUGUGAGCUCAGUAGUCUAUGGUCAAACUCGCCUACUGAGCAGUCUCUCGACAGACAGUCAACUCACCAGUCGAGCAAUCGCUCUGUGACGUCAUCGAUGCUUGAGGAGAAGACAACUCGACUACAGAGCAACGAGGGGCAGACAACUCACCAGUUUAACAAUCGCUCUGCGAAGUGGAUCUCUGACGUAUACGUGCACCAAAAUUUGCAAGCCUAUAGAGCAGUAUAUGCUGAAGAAUAUAUAACAUCUGAGAGAAUCGAGCAAACGUGGAACAACACUUUAAAUGGUUACUGCGACUCGACUCUCUUGAGCAAGUCAUGUGUAAAAUGAAGUUGACAAAGGCCUUCUGCAAGUCCAAGGAUUGAAAGAUGGAUGUAAUAAUCUUGCGAUUUACAACCCUACAAUUCGAACCUUUUGGUUUCUAUCUUUUCCAACUUUGAGGGAAUUUAGAAGAUCUGGAAGUUGGAGAGCCAUUGAAACGCCAAGCAUUUGUGUAUGGGUAUUAAACCUGACCCGGGCCCGACUAAUUAACUGGAUUUGCAGACCAGAGCCCAAAUCAAGCCCGAAAUUUCAUAUCUUAUUAAGGAGUUCUUUGAAUUGUCAUUGCAAGAGUUUAGUACAGUAUGUGUCAUGUUGAUGAGGCAACUACUAUUUUUAUGCAGACCACGGUCUCUCGUGGCCAAAACGCCUCAUUUAUAAAAAAGCCUGACUCGAACAUAAUGAUUGACAUUUUAGGCCCGAGCCUGACCCGAAAUUCGACUUUAGAUCUUAACUCUAAGUCUCGCUUACAGUGGAACAUACAAUAACCAAACCAAUGUAUGAUUGUGGACUAUAAUGAGUUUACAACUCCUAGAAAGACUGCUCGGUGAAACAGUCUACGAUGAUGUCUCUUCUUUUUGUUCAAACUUACUGGGCAAGUUACAACAUUCCUUUUUUUUCCGAAAUUAUUCGACGGUUCUGGUCAAUCAGCGAUGGUAGCUAAAUAUGGCAACUGGUUCACACACGACAAAAAUCCUUAAGCGAAAGUAUUCGCUCGCAACAACAAAAAAGUUGUCGACAUGGAUAGCCUGAUUAAAUUAAUGAGAUACAAUGAUUUCAAAAAUGAUCCGAUAUCGAGAUGUAAUUAUACUCCGCCCUACAGCGCUAAAAAUUAAAUCGCAGCACAUUGUGAGUUAAAUCCAGCAGAUGCUUUGUUUCUGUUUGGAUUACUAAAACAACAAGACCAUGCUGCUAUGGACGUAAAAGCAACUUUGUAUUCCUUAUAAAAUGUUAUUGUCAUGAUGGCGGAAUCUGGCCCAAUCCGCGAUCAACAACCAGUUUUUGAGUUUUAAAAACUAUCGUAUGCAAAUUUGUCCCAUCUUGGAAUGCCUGCUAGGUUUGAUUUCAGCCCUGUACUGUUUGUAUGGCAUAAAUGAUAAGUUUAAUUUAGCCCUGUGUUGUUUUUAUGGGAUGAAACGUCAACUCCAUGCUGAGGUAUUAAACUUUCAUUCCAAUUUAUCUUUUUAAUUAUAAUCUUCAAAUUGUACUCACACAAAUGUAUUUCAUCUGGGAAUGCCCGAUAAGUUUGAUUCAGCCCUGUACUUUUUGUAUGGGAUAAAUAAUAAGUUUAUUUUUGUGUAUGUGAUAAAUAAAGUCGAGUCUAUGCUAAAGCUCAAUGUUUUAAUCUAUUUUUAAUCAUAAUUAUUAAAUUUUUACUCAGAUUCAUACUGGUAUAUUAAUGUUGAAUUAUUGUUUAAUAUUGAACUGUGCCUUUGCUGUGAGUGAGUUUCUGAUACUUCUCUGAUAUGUAGCGAAGCCAAAGGCCCUAUAAAUCUUAGACUAUUUUAUUGAUUUUUUGUUGUCAUAUGUAAUCUAUAAAGUCCCUUCACAAUUCCAAUAUGGUUAUGAAGUCAGUUCUCGAUUUAUCUUAACCAGGUUUGUUGUUUUUUAAUCAGUAAUUGUUCAAAUAUUUUAACUUCAUUUAAUAUAUCUCAACACAAUAUUAUAAAAAAUUGAAAAUUUAUUGAAAAUACAUGGAUGGGCCAUAAAUAUCCAAAAUAAAUAAAUUCAAAUAUCUAAAAGGCGGGCAAGAUAGAAUCUAACGAAUAUUUUUAUUUCAACUUUCAUUCCAUUUUAUCGUUUUAUUUACACCCCGCUGUUCAAGAACCACUGAUAUAGAAAUACCUUUUUCUCACUUGAAACUCGAAAAUCCCAAGUUUGUACUGUCUGGGAAGAAUGUAAAAGAAUCCAAAGUUUUGCAUUCAAAUUCUUUGCGUAUCCUAGAGCUUUCAAAAUCAGGAUUUUCUUGAAUUUUAGGUCAAAUUUUUCGCAGUCUAAAGCUGGGGGACCAUUUUUGUAAUAUGGAGUCAACAGUCUGUUGUAAAUUGGCCUUUUUUAAAACCUCUUCUCCCCCUAAGCUCUAACUCUUUAUCAUCUAAACCACGAUUUUUUUGCAGCCCACAGUUGGAAGUCUAUUUUUUAUCUUCGGAGUCAAGAGUUGAUUGUAAAUUGGCCCCAUUUACAGCCUAAUUUUUGGACAGUAUACUAUUUUUCACUUUGAAAUUUUAUAACAGUAUAUCAUUAUGCUUUUUUUUUUGUGUGAAUAUUUAUUGCAAUAAAUUCAUCAUAUGCAAAAUAUUA